rnacentral:rRNA from 1 species
CACUGCGGCCAAACCGACUAGUCAGUGCCCAAUCUCAUUUUUUCUUGGAAGUUAAGCAGGAUUGGAAGUGGUUAAUAGCACUUGGAUGGGAGACCACUGGGAAAUAACUGAUCUGAGCUU